rnacentral:ncRNA from 1 species
CAAGCCAGAAGAGGCGCGUCGCCCAGGUAAGAUAUCGGAGGAUCCGUAGUCCGCAGAUGAUAUCCGAGGGGGAGCGAUGCCGAGAUGAAAUGAAAAUACGGCGUUCACUUCAUCGACCGCAGGGGCUGAAUCCCCUGGGUUGUCACCCGGUUCGCCCAGAAGGGCGUUCAGCAAGGUGGAGCGCUUCUGGGUGU